rnacentral:SRP_RNA from 1 species
GUUCGGGUCUUAUGCAAUGGAAAUCUGCGAACCGUGUCAGGUCGGGAACGAAGCAGCACUAAGUGGAACCUUCCAUGUGUUGUAAGGUUGCCUGUCUCUA